rnacentral:rRNA from 1 species
GGUAACCUGCCUGUAAGACUGGGAUAACUCCGGGAAACCGGGGCUAAUACCGGAUGCUUGAUUGAACCGCAUGGUUCAAUYAUAAAAGGUGGCUUUCAGCUACCACUUGCAGAUGGACCCGCGGCGCAUUAGCUAGUUGGUGAGGUAACGGCUCACCAAGGCGACGAUGCGUAGCCGACCUGAGAGGGUGAUCGGCCACACUGGGACUGAGACACGGCCCAGACUCCUACGGGAGGCAGCAGUAGGGAAUCUUCCGCAAUGGACGAAAGUCUGACGGAGCAACGCCGCGUGAGUGAUGAAGGUUUUCGGAUCGUAAAACUCUGUUGUUAGGGAAGAACAAGUACCGUUCGAAUAGGGCGGYACCUUGACGGUACCUAACCAGAAAGCCACGGCUAACUACGUGCCAGCAGCCGCGGUAAUACGUAGGUGGCAAGCGUUGUCCGGAAUUAUUGGGCGUAAAGCGCGCGCAGGCGGUUUCUUAAGUCUGAUGUGAAAGCCCCCGGCUCAACCGGGGAGGGUCAUUGGAAACUGGGGAACUUGAGUGCAGAAGAGGAGAGUGGAAUUCCACGUGUAGCGGUGAAAUGCGUAGAGAUGUGGAGGAACACCAGUGGCGAAGGCGACUCUCUGGUCUGUAACUGACGCUGAGCGCGAAAGCGUGGGGAGCGAACAGGAUUAGA